AUUGAACGCUGGCGGCAGGCUUAACACAUGCAAGUCGAGCGAGCGGCGGACGGGUGAGUAGUGUCUGGGAAACUGCCUGAUGGAGGGGGAAAACUACGGGAAACGGUAGCUAAUACCGCAUACCAUCAGAUGUGCCGAGAUGGGAGUAGGUAGGAGGUGGGGUAAUGGCGCACCUAGGCGACGAUACCUAGCUGGUCUGAGAGGAUGACCAGCCACACUGGAACUGAGACACGGUCCAGACUCCUACGGGAGGCAGCAGUGGGGAAUAUUUCACAAUGGGCGCAAGCCUGAUGCAGCCAUGCCGCGUGUGUGAAGAAGGCCUUCGGGUUGUAAAGCACUUUCAGCGGGGAGGCGUUACUCGCCGAAGAAGCCCCGGCUAACUCCGUGCCAGCAGCCGCGGUAAUAC
rnacentral:rRNA from 1 species